AAGACUAUACUUUCAGGGAUCAUUUCUAUAGUUUGUCACUAGAGAAGUUUCUCUGGACGUGUAGAGCACCCGAAACCACAAGGAGGAGGUGCAGCGUUCUCUCCUGAGCGUGAAGCCGGCUUUUGGCGUUGCUUUUGCAGCUGCCACCAGCCAUUGAUGAUCGCUCUUCUCUCCCACUGGGAGAGUAAGAGGGAGAUGACGCAGUCUGAGUGGU
rnacentral:snoRNA from 1 species